rnacentral:lncRNA from 1 species
UUAAACUUGAAGCAUCAAAAUCACAACCUUGUUGUUGUUGGAUCAAUUCAGUUGUCUCUUAUUAUAUUACAAUAGAGUGCUUGCAUUUAGAUUAAAAAUCAAACCAAAGGCAACUCAGACGACUCCACCUGCAAGAGAAUACAAGCGUUAAACACUAGAAUUUCUCAAAAACUAUACAUUAUGGAGUCUGAAAUGCACAAGGGACUAUGAAUGUCAUGAACAUGUGAGCAUUGUCAAACAAUGAGCAUAGACAAUGUGAAGUAUGGCUUUAAGCAGUGAUAGACAAUGGAGUUCAAAAUGCAAUGCAGUGAUAGACAAUGUGAAGUAUGGCUUUAAGCAGUGUCAAACUGCUUUGGUUCAAGCUAUGCAAAUUUAAUUUUCAAAUCAAUAAAACUGAUGUACUGUUUUUGAAUUAAAAGAGAAAUGCACAACACGAAUAAACAGCUAAUGUACUUCUCUCUUGAAUACAUGCUAGCAGCAAUUAUAGUCUAAUUAUGAACAGAUAACCUGCAUCUAGAUAAAACUACAGGACUAUUUCGUUUGCGUCCCUUGCAUCAAGAUAACCUCCUAGAAGUGUAAGGGAAAUGUGCCUUUGGGCCGUUUCUAUAAUGUUUUGGUGAUUAAGUGCCCAGCACAUACUCUUUAAGUCCUAAUGUGACAAAGAUUGAAAAAGUGCAAAUCAAGACAUGAGGUAUAUUUCUAGACUUAGUACAUUUGUUUUUGAAUACUAAUGAAGUUAUCUAAGUGCUAGAAAUAGUGAGAAAAGAAGAAGAAAAGAAACCAAAAAGACUUGGCUCGGUGCAGCCAAAACUCAGCUCAGUUUGGCACACCGGACUGUCCGGUGGUGCACCGGAUAGUGUCCGGUGCGCCAGGCUGGUCUCCGGUGAAAAGGCCGCUCUCGGGAAAAGAUCGGCGGCGUACGGCUAUAAUUCACCGGACUGUCCGGUGAGCCAACGGUCGCCAGCGCAACGGUCGGCCGCGCAAUCCGCGGGCGACGCGUGGCCCGCACCAACGGUCGGCAGGGGGCACCGGAUAGUGUCCGGUGCGCCAUCGGGCCCAAAGCUGCAGCAGUCGACUGCGCCUUAUUUGGAAGGCAAUCGCGCACCGGACAGCUACAGUGACUAUCCGGUGGUGCACCGGAUUGUCCGGUGCACCACACGACAGAAGGCAAGAUUGGCCUUCCACGAUUGUCUUCAACGGCUCCUAGCUGCCUUGGAGCUAUAAAAGGGACCCCUAGGCGCAUGGAGGAGUCAUCCAAGCAUUCACUAAGCAUCUUAAGGUAUCCAGACUCUGUUCCCGUGCAUUCGUUUCGUUGUGUUAGAGAUUUGAGCUCUAUUCGAGUCAAGGACUCCCUGUGUUGUCACUUGAGCUCAAGUCUUCUCUUGUGUGCGUGGGUGUGCUGCGAUUUGUGUCUUGUGUGUGUUGCUCAUCCCAACCUUACUUCGUGCUUUCAUUGUGAUCUUUGUUGUAAGGGCGAGAGACUCUAAUCUUGUGGAGAUUCCUCGCAAACGGGGAUAAUCAUCUAAAGGAAAAACCGUGGUAUUCAAGUUGAUCAUCGGAUCACUUGAAAGGGGUUGAGUGCAACCCUCGUCCAUUGGGACGCCACAACGUGGAAGUAAGCAAGUGUUACUUGGCCGAACCACGAGAUAAAAAUCAUGUCUUGUGUUGAUCUCUCUGUGAUUGUUUGUGUUCACAAGAACUCGCUUCAAGUUAUUUAGCCGUACCAACACUCAUAACUAAGUUUUGUGGCUAUUAGUGAUUGAAUUUUACAUGAUCACCUAUUCACCCCCCUCUAGGUGCUCUCAAGAAGGGAAAGGAAGAGAGCAUACCAGCUAAGCCAUCUCGUUUCUCAGCCAAAUCAGUGCAGACUCGGCAUCAUCAUCACAUGCACUCAAGAAAAUUUGCCUGUUGUUAAGGUCCUUGAAGACAUUGUAGGCUUUCGCUUUUUCCACCUUUGUAACUUCCAUUGUACCAAUAAUGGAUAUGCACUUCUUGAUUGAGAAGUCUGCAGUUUGACUCACUUCCUUUUCCUCCCUCUCUUUUGCUAGUUGUGUGGCUUCUUCCUCAGCUUGCUUCAUUCUCAUGUCAAUGUAUCUUCCCAUUAUUCCUUCUAGGUAAUCGCCCUUUUUAUGCCUCUUUGUCCUUGUUUCUUCAUUGUUCCCUUUUGUAGCAGUAGUCCUUCUCCGCGGCACCAGAUCAUGCCUUUCACUUGUUGCAUCUCCUGCAUCAACAACAUGGACAUCAUCUUCUUCAUGUGCCGGCAAGGUUUCUUCCACUUCAUCUUGUUCAUGUUCUAUGUUGAGAAACUCAUCUCUAUUUCCUACUUGAGUAAGAUCUAGAAGUUGGGUGGAGGUGUAGUUGUAGGUCCCUUCAGCUGUUUGCCCUGCACAAUGAAGUUUUACUUAAAAAAGGGUAGACAACAUAACAUAUUGGAAAGCAUGCACAUUGUAAUGAGACUAACUAUCAUAAAGCUCCCCCAAGGCCUCAUAUAGAGGAAAAGACUUGUUGCAGAACUUUUUAGCCUUAGGAUGAGAAGUCAGUAUAUUUUUCCAUAAAGCUGGGUCAGCUGUAAUCCUCCCUAUCUUCUCAUCAAAAUGAGCUCCACUUUGAUUCUUUGCAUCCUUUAGCAACCUAUAGUCCCUUUUCAGCUCUCUUUCCUUAUCUUGUAUUUGUGUCUUUGUGAAAUAGACAUAUUGUUCCCUCUGAUGAAAUUCCUUGACAAUUUUGUUCCAUGCUUCUGUUGUCCAUCCAUUUGACCCCCUAUAAUCAGCUGUUUUGUGCUCAUGCAAGAGGUGAAAGGGAAUUAGGCUUACACCUAGUUCCUAAAUAGUUUUGGUGGUUGAAUUGCCCAACACAAAUAAUUGGACUAACUAGUUUGCUCUAGAUUAUAUGUUCUACAUGUGCCAAAGGUUCAUCUACAACUAUACUAAACCGAUUGUCCGGAAUACCGUAGAUUAUUCCGGACAGGAGAAGCUUUUUGGAAAAACAGACCAAGCGCGGACCGUCCGGGCCCCUGCGGCGGACCGUCCGCGACACCAGGAUAACCUUCGGGCAGAACCAAUGCAAAAAUACAAGUCUACACUACAGACUGUCCGGAGGAAAAGCAAGGACCGUUCGAGCCCUCGCGCGGACCGUCCGGUAGGUGAGAAACCGAAAAACCCGAAGGUGACGGGUUCGGAAAAAUGAAUUAUAGCGGCCUCGCGGACCGUCCGGGGUGCACGACCGGACCGUCCGCGACUGGCUUUAUCUGACAUCUGACGUCGCAUUAAAUGCAAUAUAGCCGUUGAUAUAGCCGUUACUGCUGACCGUUGCGUUUUCAGCCGUUGAUCUACAGGGGCGGACCGUCCGGACCAGGCGGGCGGACCGUCCGCGCUCAGCAGAAUGGAGCAACGGCUAGGAAGUGGUUGGUGGCUAUAAAUACAACCCCAACCACCUCCAUUCACAUCAUCCAAGCGUUCCAACCUUCAACAUUCAAUACAAGAGCUAGCAAUCCAUUCCAAGACACAUUCAAAGCCUCCAUCUCUCCAAGUUUCACAAUUGAGAAAAGAGAUCAUUAGUGAUUAGUGACUUGAGAGAGAAAGUGAUCCGUGUGUUAUUUGUCGCUCUUGUCGCUUGGCUUUUGCAAUCGUGCUUUCUUUCAAUCUUUCUUGCGAUCAACUCAAUUGUAACCAAGGCAAGAGACACCAGUUGUGUGGUGGUCCUUGCGGGGAAGUUUGUUCCCGUUUAAUUGAGAAGAGAAAGCUCGCUCGGUCCGAGGGACCGUUUGAGAGAGGGAAAGGGUUGAAAAAGACCCGGCCUUUGUGGCCUCCUCAACGGGGAGUAGGUUUGCGAGAACCGAACCUCGGUAAAACAAAUCCGCGUGUCACACUUCUUAUUUGCUUGCGAUUUGUUUUCCACCCUCUCUCGCGGACUCGAUCAUAUUUCUAACGCUAACCCGGCUUGGAGUUGUGUUUAUAUUUGUAAAUUUCAGUUUCGCCCUAUUCACCCCCCCCCCUCUAGGCGACUAUCAAUUGGUAUCAGAGCCCGGUGCUUCAUUAGAGCCUAACCGCUCGAAGUGAUGUCGGGAGAUCACACCAAGAGGGAGAUGGAGACCGGCGACAAGCCCACUACGAGCCAAGGGAGCACUUCAUCGGAAGAGUCCCGCACCAAGAGGAAGGAGAAGAAGAAGGACUCCUCCAAACGGAAGGAGAAAAGAUCUUCUUCCUCACACCACAAAGAGAAGAAGGAAAAAUCUUCUUCCCACAAGUCGCAUCGGAAAGGCGACAAGCACAAGAGGAUGAGGAAGGUGGUCUACUACGAGACCGACACUUCAUCAACAUCGACCUCCGACUCCGAUGCGCCGUCCGUAACUUCUAAGCGCCAAGAGCGCAAGAAGUUUAGUAAGAUCCCCUUACAUUAUCCUCGUAUACCUAGACAUACUCCAUUACUUUCCGUUCCAUUAGGCAAACCGCCAACUUUUGAUGGCGAAGAUUAUGCUAGGUGGAGUGAUUUAAUGAAAUUUCAUCUAACCUCACUCCACAAAAGUAUAUGGAAUGUUGUUGAGUUUGGAGCACAGGUACCAUCCAUAGGGGAUGAAGAUUAUGAUACGGACGAAGUGGCCCAAAUCGAGCACUUCAACUCCCAAGCUACAACCAUACUCCUCGCCUCUCUAAGCAAGGAGGAAUACAACAAGGUGCAAGGAUUGAAGAAUGCAAAGGAGAUUUGGGACCUACUCAAGACCGCGCACGAGGGUGAUGAACUCACCAAGAUCACCAAGCGGGAAACGAUCGAGGGGGAGCUCGGUCGCUUCCGUCUUCGCCAAGGGGAGGAGCCACAAGAUAUGUACAACUGGCUCAAAACCUUGGUGAACCAAGUGCACAACCUCGGGAGCAAAAAGUGGGACGACCACGAAGUGGUUAAGGUUAUUCUAAGAUCUCUCAUUUUCCUUAACCCCACUCAAGUUCAAUUAGUUCGUGGUAAUCCUAGAUACACACUAAUGACCCCCGAGGAAGUAAUCGGGAAUUUUGUGAGCUUUGAAUGCAUGAUUAAAGGAUCAAAGAAGAUCAACGAGCUUGACGAACCCUCCACGUCCGAAGCACAACCGGUGGCUUUUAAGGCAACGGAGGAGAAGAAGGAGGAGUCUACACCAAGUAGACAACCAAUUGACGCCUCCAAGCUCGACAAUGAGGAGAUGGCUUUAAUCAUCAAAAGCUUUCGCCAAAUCCUCAAGCAACGGAGGGGGAAGGAUUACAAACCCCGCUCCAAGAAAGUGUGCUACAAAUGUGGUAAGCCCGGUCAUUUCAUUGCAAAAUAUCCUAUAUCUAGUGACAGGGGCGACGACAAGAAGGGAAAGAGGAGAGAAAAGAAGAAGUACUACAAGAAGAAGGGCGGCGAUGCCCAUGUUUGCCGGGAGUGGAACUCGGACGAGAGCUCCACCGACUCCUCCUCCGACGACGAGGACGCCGCCAACAUCGCCGUCACCAAGGGACUCCUCUUCCCCAACGUCGGCCACAAGUGCCUCAUGGCAAAGGACGGCAAAAGGAAGAAGGUUAAAUCUAAAUCCUCCACUAAAUAUGAAUCCUCUAGUGAUGAUAAUGCUAGUGAUGAGGAGAAUAAGUUGCGUGCCCUUUUUGCCGACCUAAACAUGCAACAAAAGGAGAAAUUAAAUGAAUUAAUUAGUGCCAUCCAUGAGAAGGAUGAUCUCUUGGACUCCCAAGAGGACUUCCUAAUCAAGGAAAAUAAAAAGCAUGUUAAGGUUAAAAAUGCUUAUGCUCUACAAGUUGAAAAAUGUGAAAAAUUGUCUAGUGAGCUAAGCACUUGCCAUGAGACUAUUAACAACCUUAGAAAUGAAAAUGCUAGAUUAAUUGCUAAGGUUGAUUCUCAUGUUUGUGAUGUCUCAAUUUCCAAUCUUAGAAAUGAUAAUGAUGAUUUGCUUGCUAAGAUUAAGGAAUUGAAUGAUUCUCUUGCUAGCCUUAGAGUAGAAAAUGACAAUUUGAUUGCUAAGGCUAAAGAUUUUGAUGUUUGCAAUACUACUAUUUCCGACCUUAGAACUAAGAAUGAUAUGUUGCAUGCUAAAGUUGUAGAACUAAAAUCUUGCAAACACUCUACAUCUACCAUUGAGCACACUUCCAUUUGUACUAGAUGUAGAGAUGUUGAUAUCAAUGCUAUUCAUGAUCACAUGGCUUUAAUUAAACAACAAAAUGAUCAUAUAGCAAUAUUAGAUGCUAAAAUUGCUGAGCAUAACUUAGAAAAUGAAAAGUUCAAAUUUGCUAAAAGUAUGCUCUAUAAUGGGAGACGCCCUGGCAUCAAGGAUGGCAUUGGCUACUAAAGGGGAGACAAUGUCAAACUUAGUGCCCCUCCUAGAAAUUUGUCUAACUUUGUUAAGGGAAAGGCUCCCAUGCCUCAGGAUUACGAGGGUUACAUUUUAUACCCUGCCAGUUAUCCCGAGAGCAAAAUUAGGAGAACUCAUUCUAGGAAGUCUCACUCUGGCCCUAAUCAUGCUUUUAUGUAUAAGGGUGAGACAUCUAGCUCCAGGCAACCAACCCGUGCCAAGUUGCCUAAGAAGAAAACUCCUAAUGCAUCAAAUGAUCAUAGCAUUUCAUUUAAGACUUUUGAUGCAUCUUAUGUUUUGACUAACAAAUCCAGCAAAGUAGUUGCCAAAUAUGUUGGGGGCAAGCACAAGGGGUCAACGACUUGUGUUUGGGUACCCAAAGUUCUUGUGUCUAAUGCCAAAGGACCCAAAACCAUUUGGGUACCUAAAGUCAAGAACUAAACUUGUUUUGUAGGUUUAUGCAUCCGGGGGCUCAAGUUGGAUUAUCGACAGCGGGUGCACAAACCACAUGACAGGGGAGAAGAAGAUGUUCUCCUCCUAUGAGAAAAACCAAGAUCCCCAACGAGCUAUUACAUUCGGGGAUGGAAAUCAAGGUUUGGUCAAAGGUCUUGGUAAAAUUGCUAUAUCUCCUGACCAUUCUAUUUCCAAUGUUUUUCUUGUAGAUUCAUUAGACUACAAUUUGCUUUCUGUAUCUCAAUUAUGCAAAAUGGGCUACAACUGUCUCUUUACUGAUGUAGGUGUCACUGUCUUUAGAAGAAGUGAUGAUUCAAUAGCAUUUAAGGGUGUGUUAGAGGGUCAGCUAUACUUAGUAGAUUUUGAUAGAACUGAACUCGACACAUGCUUAAUUGCUAAGACUAACAUGGGUUGGCUCUGGCACCGCCGACUAGCCCAUGUUGGGAUAAAGAAUCUCCAUAAGCUUCUAAAGGGAGAGCACAUUUUAGGACUAACCAAUGUUCAUUUUGAGAAAGACAGGGUUUGUAGCGCAUGCCAAGCAGGAAAGCAAGUUGGUGCCCAUCAUCCACACAAGAACAUUAUGACGACCGACAGGCCGCUUGAGCUACUCCACAUGGAUCUAUUCGGCCCGAUUGCUUACAUAAGCAUCGGCGGGAGUAAGUAUUGUCUUGUAAUAGUGGAUGAUUAUUCUCGCUUCACUUGGGUAUUCUUUUUGCAGGAAAAAUCUCAAACCCAAGAGACCUUAAAGGGAUUCUUGAGACGGGCUCAAAACGAGUUCGGCUUAAGGAUCAAGAAAAUUAGAAGCGACAACGGGACGGAGUUCAAGAACUCGCAAAUCGAAGGCUUCCUUGAGGAGGAGGGCAUCAAGCAUGAGUUAUCUUCUUCCUACACGCCACAACAAAAUGGUGUAGUGGAGAGGAAGAAUCGAACUCUAUUAGACAUGGCAAGAACCAUGCUUGAUGAGUACAAGACUUCGGAUCGGUUUUGGGCCGAGGCGGUCAACACCGCCUGCUACGCCAUCAACCGGUUGUAUCUACACCGAAUCCUCAAGAAGACAUCAUACGAACUCCUUACCGAUAAAAAGCCCAAUAUUUCAUAUUUUAGAGUCUUUGGUAGCAAAUGCUUUAUUCUUGUUAAAAGAGGUAGAAAAUCCAAAUUUGCUCCUAAAACUGUAGAAGGCUUUUUACUAGGAUAUGACUCAAACACAAGGGCAUAUAGAGUCUUUAACAAGUCCUCAGGACUUGUUGAAGUUUCUUGUGACAUUGUGUUUGAUGAGACUAACGGCUCUCAAGUAGAGCAAGUUGAUCUUGAUGAGAUAGGGGAUGAAGAGGCUCCGUGCAUCGCGCUAAGGAACAUGUCCAUUGGGGAUGUGUGUCCUAAGGAAUCCGAAGAGCCUCCAAAUGCACAAGAUCAACCAUCCUCCUCCACGCAGGCAUCUCCACCAACUCAAAAUGAGGAUGAGGCUCAAGUUGAUGAAGGAGAAGAUCAAACAAAUGAGCCACCUCAAGAUGACAGCAAUGAUCAAGGGGGAGAUGCAAAUGAUCAAGACAAGGAGGAUGAAGAACCAAGGCCGCCACACCCAAGAGUCCACCAAGCAAUCCAACGAGAUCACCCCGUCGACACCAUCCUCGGCGACAUUCAUAAGGGGGUAACUACUAGAUCUCGUAUUGCACAUUUUUGUGAGCAUUACUCUUUUGUUUCCUCUAUUGAGCCACACAGGGUAGAGGAAGCACUUCAAGAUUCGGAUUGGGUGGUGGCGAUGCAAGAGGAGCUCAACAAUUUCACUAGGAAUGAGGUAUGGCAUUUAGUUCCACGUCCUAAUCAAAAUGUUGUAGGAACCAAAUGGGUCUUCCGCAACAAGCAAGACGAGCAUGGUGUGGUGACAAGGAACAAAGCUCGACUUGUGGCCAAGGGAUACUCCCAAGUCGAAGGUUUGGAUUUCGGUGAAACCUAUGCACCCGUAGCUAGGCUUGAGUCAAUUCGCAUAUUAUUAGCCUAUGCUACUUACCAUGGCUUCAAGCUUUAUCAAAUGGACGUGAAGAGUGCCUUCCUCAAUGGACCAAUCAAGGAAGAGGUCUAUGUUGAGCAACCUCCCGGCUUUGAAGAUAGUGAGUACCCUAACCAUGUCUAUAGGCUCUCUAAGGCGCUUUAUGGGCUCAAGCAAGCCCCAAGAGCAUGGUAUGAAUGCCUUAGAGAUUUCCUUAUCGCUAAUGGCUUCAAAGUCGGAAAAGCCGAUCCUACUUUAUUCACUAAAACUCUUGAAAAUGACUUGUUUAUAUGCCAAAUUUAUGUUGAUGAUAUUAUAUUUGGGUCUACUAACGAGUCUACUUGUGAAGAAUUUAGUAGGAUCAUGACACAAAAGUUCGAGAUGUCUAUGAUGGGGGAGUUGAAGUACUUCUUGGGAUUUCAAGUGAAGCAACUCCAAGAGGGCACCUUCAUUAGCCAAACGAAGUAUACUCAAGACAUUCUAAACAAGUUUGGGAUGAAGGAUGCCAAGCCCAUCAAGACACCCAUGGGAACUAAUGGGCAUCUCGACCUCGACACGGGAGGUAAGUCCGUGGAUCAAAAGGUAUACCGGUCGAUGAUUGGUUCUUUGCUAUAUUUAUGUGCAUCUCGACCGGAUAUUAUGCUUUCCGUAUGCAUGUGUGCAAGAUUCCAAGCCGACCCUAAGGAAGCUCACCUUACGGCCGUUAAACGAAUCUUGAGAUAUUUAGCUUAUACUCCUAAGUUUGGGCUUUGGUAUCCGAGGGGAUCCACUUUUGAUUUAAUUGGUUAUUCGGAUGCCGAUUGGGCGGGGUGUAAAAUCAAUAGAAAGAGCACAUCGGGGACUUGCCAGUUCUUGGGAAGAUCCUUGGUGUCUUGGGCUUCAAAGAAGCAAAAUUCGGUGGCUCUUUCCACCGCCGAAGCCGAGUACAUUGCCGCAGGCCAUUGUUGCGCGCAAUUGCUUUGGAUGAGGCAAACCCUGCGGGACUACGGUUACAAAUUAACCAAAGUCCCUUUGCUAUGUGAUAAUGAGAGUGCAAUCAAGAUGGCGGAUAAUCCCGUCGAGCAUAGCCGCACUAAACACAUAGCCAUUCGGUAUCAUUUUCUUAGGGAUCACCAACAAAAGGGAGAUAUCGAGAUUUCUUACAUUAAUACUAAAGAACAAUUAGCUGAUAUCUUUACCAAGCCUCUUGAUGAACAAACUUUUAACAAACUUAGGCAUGAGCUCAAUAUUCUUGAUUCGCGCAAUUUCUUUUGCUAACUUGCUCACAUAGCUCAUUUGUAUACCUUUGAUCAUGUCUCUUUCAUAUGCUAUGACUAAUGUGUUUUUCAAGUCUAUUUCAAACCAAGUCAUAGGUGUAUCGAAAGGGAAUUAGAGUCUUCGGCGAAGACAAAGGCUUCCACUCCGUAACUCAUCCUUCACCGUCGCUCCGUCUCACUCUCCAUCUUUGGGGGAGAGAGCAAAAGGACUUCGUCUUUGGUAUAAUCUUAACUCACUUAUUUAUGACCAAAGGGGAAGAAAGUUCUUCGAGGGCUCUAAUGAUUCUGUUUUUGGCGAUUCAUGCCAAAGGGGGAGAGAGUUUGAGCCCAAAGCCAAAGGACCGCACCACCACCUAAUUUUAAACUUAGAGAUUUUCAAUUGUUCUCAUUGUGUUCCAAAGGGGGAGAAAGUAGUAUUUCAAAAUGAUAUUUCAAAAACCCUCUUGAACACUAAGAGGAGGAUCUCAUUUAGGGGGAGUUUUGUUUAGUCAAAGGAAAAGCAUUUGAAACAGGGGGAGAAAAUUUCAAAUCUUGAAAAUGCUCUGCAAAAUCUUAUUCAUUUACCUUUGACUAUUUGCAAAAGAACAUUGAAAAGGAUUUACAAAAUAGUUUGCAAAAACAAAACAUGUGGUGCAAGCGUGGUUCAAAAUGUUAAAAACGAAGAAACGAUCCAUGCAUAUCUUGUAAGUAUUUACAUUGGCUCAUUUCCAAGCAACCUUUGCACUUACAAUUAUGCAAACUAGUUCAAUUAUGCACUUCUAUAUUUGCUUUGGUUUGUGUUGGCAUCAAUCACCAAAAAGGGGGAGAUUGAAAGGGAAUUAGGCUUACACCUAGUUCCUAAAUAGUUUUGGUGGUUGAAUUGCCCAACACAAAUAAUUGGACUAACUAGUUUGCUCUAGAUUAUAUGUUCUACAGGUGCCAAAGGUUCAUCUACAACUAUACUAAACCGAUUGUCCGGAAUAUCGUAGAUUAUUCCGGACAGGAGAAGCUUUUUGGAAAAACAGACCAAGCGCGGACCGUCCGGGCCCCUGCGGCGGACCGUCCGCGACACCAGGAUAACCUUCGGGCAGAACCAAUGCAAAAAUACAAGUCUACACUACAGACUGUCCGGAGGAAAAGCAAGGACCGUCCGAGCCCUCGCGCGGACCUUCCGGCUAAAGGCGCGGACCGUCCGGUAGGUGAGAAACCGAAAAACCCGAAGGUGACGGGUUCAGAAAAAUGAAUUAUAGCGGCCUCGCGGACCGUCCGGGGUGCACGACCGGACCGUCCGCGACUGGCUUUAUCUGACAUCUGACGUCACAUUAAAUGCAAUAUAGCCGUUGAUAUAGCCGUUACUGCUGACCGUUGCGUUUUCAGCCGUUGAUCUACAGGGGCGGACCGUCCGGACCAGGCGGGCAGACCGUCCGCGCUCAGCAGAAUGGAGCAACGGCUAGGAAGUGGUUGGUGGCUAUAAAUACAACCCCAACCACCUCCAUUCACAUCAUCCAAGCAUUCCAACCUUCAACAUUCAAUACAAGAGCUAGCAAUCCAUUCCAAGACACAUUCAAAGCCUCCAUCUCUCCAAGUUUCACAAUUGAGAAAAGAGAUCAUUAGUGAUUAGUGACUUGAGAGAGAAAGUGAUCCGUGUGUUAUUUGUCGCUCUUGUCGCUUGGCUUUUGCAAUCGUGCUUUCUUUCAAUCUUUCUUGCGAUCAACUCAAUUGUAACCAAGGCAAGAGACACCAGUUGUGUGGUGGUCCUUGCGGGGAAGUUUGUUCCCGUUUAAUUGAGAAGAGAGAGCUCACUCGGUCCGAGGGACCGUUUGAGAGAGGGAAAGGGUUGAAAAAGACCCGGCCUUUGUGGCCUCCUCAACGGGGAGUAGGUUUGCGAGAACCGAACCUCGGUAAAACAAAUCCGCAUGUCACACUUCUUAUUUGCUUGCGAUUUGUUUUCCACCCUCUCUCGCGGACUCGAUCAUAUUUCUAACGCUAACCCGGCUUGGAGUUGUGUUUAUAUUUGUAAAUUUCAGUUUCGCCCUAUUCACCCCCCCCCCCUCUAGGUGACUAUCAAGAGGUCCACAAGAGUCUUCUCUAGAGUUGAGUUCCAAGCGGCUCUUAAUUUCUCUACAUAAGACAAGGAAGAAACACCAGUUGCAGAAUUCCAAGAGGCUCUUAAUUUCUCUUGAUUUGUCUACUUGCAUACCUUUUGGAGAACCUCCAUGCUUUCUUGGAUCACCAGCUUUAGGAGAAGGCUUCUUUGUUGCACUUUUUGAUAAGAGCAUGUUGAUUCUUGGAGAACCCCUUCCAAACAUGGCUACACAGAUAAGUUGCAUAAGUUUGAUAAUAAAAAAAACAUGAACUUAAAUUGUGCAACUUAUGCUUCCUAAUACAAGGAAUAAAAUUAAAAGAACAACAAUGAGUGGGGAACAUGUUUUUUCAUUAGAAAGCAACAUUAAACAAAGACAGUUUCUACGAAUGAUAAUCAAUCCACAUUUCUUGUGCCACUAAUUUCUACGAAUGAUAUUCAUUUAACAUUCAACACAUGUGCCACUAAUUUCUAUGUUGUUGGUAAUCAUUCCACAUUUCUUGUGCUAUUACAUCUCUAAGAUUAUUGCCUUGGACAUUUCCUUGAUCGUUGCCUUGAUCGCCAUCCGGUAGAUCAACAAAGUUUUGUGGUGAGAUAUUAUGUGGUUGAUUAUCUAAUCAUUCCUCAUCCCCAUUGAGUGAUCGAAUAAUAUUGUGAAGUACAGCGGCUGCUACUGGUAUCUUCACUUGAUUCCUUAUUUUAUGAAAUGUGGCAGCUUUGAGGAUGGGAAAGCGCUUCUUCACAACCCCCAAAGUCCUUUCAACAUGAUUCCUCAGUAUGGCAUGGAGAUGGUUAAAUAAUUCAUUGUAGUUAUGAGGUCUACGAUGACCUUGCCCAUACUCCUUUAGAUGGUAUCUAACUCCACGAUAAGGUGCAAGGAAUGACGUGGUGUUGGCAUACCCACCAUCAACCAAAUAGAACUUUUCUGGAGGUACAUGGAAUCCAUUGUUCAUUGUAGAUCUCAGAACUCUAGCAUCUGUAGCAGAUCCGUCCCACCCAGUAGAUAUGAAAGUGAUAUUUAGGUCAAAAUCGCAAGCUACCAUCACAUUUUGGCUAAGAGUUCCCUUCCUGUUUCUAAAAGGAGCAGCUUUGUCAGGUGAAAUUGUAAUGGGAACAUGAGUGCCAUCAAUUGCAACGAUGCAAUUCUGCAAAAAAACUAUAUGUGAAUUUCUAAAAUCUAUAAGAAAAUGGAUAGAUAUUGGGCAAGAAUAGAAGUGCCAUCACCUUGAAGUAAGGAUAGAACCUAGGAUUCCUUUCAAUUUUUGGAUGCACUUGAAUUGGAGAAGGAGGCUUCAAAAUCGUUUGGCAAGGGAAGGGACAACUAUGUCAAAAAAAUUGCUUUAUAUGAUGGUGUAAAGUGUCACCACUAUGCCCGAACUCUUCUUGCAGGUCCUCAAACGACGCAUUAUGGUUUAUCAUGUAUAGAAAGAAGCCGAGCUUUUCCUCAACUUUUAUCCUUGUGUCACGUACCAACCUUUCCUUCCUAAGAUAGUUGGCUAGGGCUCUAAAAAUUCCAGGUUCCAUUCUAAAUGCUACUCGGCAGUUCUUGACAUGCCCUUCAAACAACUCCGAAACAUGCUCCUCGCCACUUAGCUUGGAUGUGUGUCGCCGCUUCUUAACCCUCCUCCCUCUAGGAGAGCUAGAACGCAACAAGUGUAAUGCGGGAAGGAAGAACAUCACCAUAUCAUCAUCAUCCUCUUGUCUCCUCCUUCUAAUGCGGUCCAUUAACCCUGUACUCAUUGCAAAAAGGUAGGGGCCACCGGGUCCCAGAAAGUACCUCUCGGGGAUGGUAUUGGGUCCCAAGACGGUGGGGGUUGGUCUUCUCCAACUCUAACUGGUGCGGGUACAAUCUACAACGAAAAAAUAGAAUAUUCAAAUUAGUAAUCUGCAACGUUGGCUGCAACUGUGUAACCAUGUGCAGAGGAAUCAGCCACAGCAAAAUGAGAUGAGAUGAGCAGCUUGUAAAUGUUAAUUCUAGAAUUUACAUUAAGCAGACACAAUAUCCAGGGCGGAUACAUUAUUUUUAGUAAGUACAGAUCGAAUCUACUUACUACUUUGCAACUAAACUUAGUUCAUAAGCAUUCUUUUACAUGGAUCUUUUUUUAACUUCACUGCAUAACGCCUCAAUUGCUAGCACAGGAUAUAAAGUCAAAACACCUGAGAGGAAGACCGGGACCAAAGUUGAUAAGGCUUCCAGAUCUCCUGAGUUGUUCAAACAAUGGGCAUAUUCCUGUCACCCAAGACCAAAGUGGUACAAGGGCGUCCUAGAUGCCGGAGAAAGAAGAAAGCGAGACCACCUGUGUCAAAUUAACAUAGCGCAACAUCUCUUUCAGUCUUUCGGAGGUGAACCUCAAAGUGAAAGGAGACCAAUAAUUUCCUCGGUGAAGUUGCGUUAGAAGCUGGGCUCUGGUAGACUGCAACAUUACAGAGAAAAGGAGCUGAACGGAACAGACGAUAGACAUGGAUGCGGUGUGUGCGUUGACAGGAACAGAAAUCUCAUCGCUCAAGGCCUCCAAGGUGCUCUCGCACCUCAAGUCACCCUCCCGACCCGGUGCCGUGCUCGCCUUCAUCUUGGGCCUCGGUCUCUCCGACGCCGACAUCGCCGCCGUCGUCGCCUACGACCCCAAGCUUCUCUGCUCCGAGGUCGAGCGCAUGUUGGCCCCGCUUAAAGAUAGACUGUGCAGUUGAGUGAUAGAUUACUGACAGGCCCAACUUUGCAUCAGAUGAGAUGCAGAUGCCGAAAAGACACGACGUAGCUUUGGAUCUACGCCACCGGCGGCCAGGCGCGUGCGCGUCCCCGGCGGACGAGAGAGAGAGAGAGAAACAAACGGUGCGGAGGCAAGAGGAGAGGGCACACAAACAUGGGAGAGAAGGGACGGACGAACUCACCGGAGAAAAGCUUGCUGAUGAAGAUGGCGGUGACCGACAACGGAAGGAGCCUUGUGAAUCCGUCGUGAAUCAUGCCGCCACCGACUCGCGUCUAUCCGCUCGCUCGUCGGGAUGAGUUCC